AUUGAACGCUGGCGGCAGGCCUAACACAUGCAAGUCGAGCGGAUGAAGGGAGCUUGCUCCUGGAUUCAGCGGCGGACGGGUGAGUAAUGCCUAGGAAUCUGCCUGGUAGUGGGGGAUAACGUCCGGAAACGGGCGCUAAUACCGCAUACGUCCUGAGGGAGAAAGUGGGGGAUCUUCGGACCUCACGCUAUCAGAUGAGCCUAGGUCGGAUUAGCUAGUUGGUGGGGUAAAGGCCUACCAAGGCGACGAUCCGUAACUGGUCUGAGGGGAUGAUCAGUCAAAAUGGAAAUGAGAAAAGGGCCAAAAUCCCUAGGGAAGGAGGAGUUGGGAAAAAUUGGAAAAGGGGGGAAGGCUGAAUCAAGCAAGGCGGGGGUGGUGAAAAAGGUCUUCGAAUGGAAAAGCACUUUAAGUGGGAGGAAGGGCAGUAAGUUAAUACCUUGCUGUUUUGACGUUACCAACAGAAUAAGCACCGGCUAACUUCGUG
rnacentral:rRNA from 1 species